CCUACGAGGGGCAGCAGUCGAGAAUAAUGCACAAUGGGGGAAACCCUGAUGGAGCGACGCCGCGUGGGGGAAUGAAGGUCUGCGGAUGGUAAACCCCUGUCAUGUGGGAGCAAAUGAAAAAGAUAGUACCACAAGAGGAAGAGACGGCUAACUCUGUGCCAGCAGCCGCGGUAAUACAUAGGUCUCAAGCGGUGUUCGGAAUAACUGGGCGUAAAGCUGGCGUAGGCUGUUUCGUAAGUCGUGUGUGAAAGGCGCGGGCUCAACCCGCGGACGGCACAUGAUACUGCGAGACUAGAGUAAUGGAGGGGGAACCGGAAUUCUCGGUGUAGCCGUGAAAUGCGUAGAUAUCGGGAGGAACACUCGUGGCGAAGGCGGGUUCCUGGACAUUAACUGACGCUGAGGCACGAAGGCCAGGGGAGCGAAAGGGAUUAGAUACCCGAGUAGUC
rnacentral:rRNA from 1 species